AAUCAACGCUGGCGGCGUGCCUCAGACAUGCAAGUCGAACGCGAAAGGCUCCUUCGGGGGCCGAGUAGAGUGGCGCACGGGUGAGUAACACGUAGGUAAUUUGCCUUUGGGUGGGGAAUAACUCAGGGAAACUUGAGCUAAUACCGCAUAAUGCAGCGGCUCGACAUCGAGACAGUUGUUAAAGCGGGGGAUCGCAAGACCUCGCGCCUGAAGAGAAGCCUGCGGCAGAUUAGCUAGUUGGUAGGGUAAUGGCCUACCAAGGCGACGAUCUGUAACCGGCCUGAGAGGGCGGUCGGUCACACUGACACUGACAUACGGGUCAGACUCCUACGGGAGGCAGCAGUCGGGAAUUUUGGGCAAUGGGCGCAAGCCUGACCCAGCAACGCCG
rnacentral:rRNA from 1 species